rnacentral:rRNA from 1 species
CUGCUCUGACUAAAUUUCGGGAGGGGAGUGAGAAAUUCCUAUUGGGUGGGUGAAAGGAAUGCAUAUUAGGAGGAACACCCGUGGCUAAGGCACCCCUCUCUCCUGAAACUGCCUCUCAGGAACGAAAGCAUGCGUGGCAAACAAGAUUAAAUACCCUGGUAGUCCAUGCCGUCAACGGUGGGCACUAGGUGUGGGUUC